UCGAUUUUUAAAGGUACAAUGGAGUCAUCACACUCAAGAUGAGGCCACAUGGGAGAAGGAAGAUGAUUUGCAAAAGAACUAUCCUCAGUUUUUCCAUCACCAAGGUACAACAAUUUCGAGGACGAAAUUCCUCAAGGAGGGGAGCCUGUAGUAGUAGUUAGUAGUAGUAGUAAUAGCUGUAGCAGUAGGGAACCGUUCAUACAGUCUUGAAUUGUUUUGGGAGGAGGACAGAUAAAUAUCACCGAGGUUAAUGGAUAGGAUCGAACCCUUUCAGUGUAAGGAAGAGGGAGGGUGAAUCCUAUCCCUAUCAUCAUGGCUUGGACAGGUGUCUGCUUCACACUGAAGGAAGCUGCACUAUUUAAGCCGUAUGUGAGCCUACAACUCUUGUCCAUCAGUAGUACUUCUCCCUGCUCUGGCUGUGGCGAGAGUUCUGUGAGACACUUGAGAGUGUAGAGCUAAUAGAAGCCUUUCAGAAACUAGUCAAGAUGAGAUGUCAGAGGGGAAUGAUGACAUGCAGACCUAGUGGGGAGUGUGGUCUACUUAGUCUGUAGAGACAUCCAGAGGUCAUACUUGCAUGCUAAGCAUAGGGUUUUGUCCUAGUGACAAUAAGUUGGUCAGUGAACCAACCGAUGUAAUAUGUAGUGUAGCUGGUAAAAAAAAAGUAAUAAUAAUAAACGGAACCACUGUUGUAGGUGUCCAAGCUCCAGUUGUGAUGGUUA